CGUGGAGACAGGUGGUGCAUGGCUGUCGUCAGCUCGUGUCGUGAGAUGUUGGGUUAAGUCCCGCAACGAGCGCAACCCUCACCCCUUGUUGCUACCAGGUAAAGCUGGGCACUCUAGGGGAACUGCCACGGUCAACGGGGAGGAAGGCGGGGAUGACGUCAAGUCAUCAUGCCCCUUACGCCCUGGGCGACACACGUGCUACAAUGGCUGGUACAAAGGGAUGCAAGACCGCGAGGUGGAGCUAAUCCCAAAAAACCGGUCUAAGUUCAGAUUGCAGUCUGCAACUCGACUGCAUGAAGGAGGAAUCGCUAGUAAUCGCGCAUCAGCACGGCGCGGUGAAUACGUUCCCGGGCCUUGUACACACCGCCCGUCACACCACGAAAGCCGGCUGUACUCGAAGUCGCUGAG
rnacentral:rRNA from 1 species